rnacentral:tmRNA from 1 species
GGGGGUGACCGGCUUUGACGGUCUUGUUCUUUGAGAAACGUGCGACGCGGUGGAAGUGUGCUGUCCACCUAAAAACGUACACACCGAAACGUGCAAACACUACUGUUGCACGCGCGAUAAAGUCUCCGUUCUUCUCGAACGCAGGCGGCUUCGCGUUCGCGGCUGCGUAAGCUUGAGCUUCGGCUCGCUUCGCCUCUGCGAUGUUUGUUACACCGGACUCUCUUAGCCGGAUAACAGGCAGAAUUUCCUAGGAGAUCGGUAUCCGUCCGUCCGAACGGAAUCCUAAAUAAGGACUAGGCAGGAAGUGGUUUUGUUUUCUUUCUCGCACUCCUGCCGAAUAUCUAAGGAAAACUACGCGUCGUAGAUUCGUUCUCAAAAACAGAUUCGGACGGGAGUUCAAUUCUCCCCACCUCCACAC